UACGUAGGGGGCAAGCGUUGUCCGGAUUUAUUGGGCGUAAAAGGCUUGUAGGUGGCCACGCCAAGUCGGAUGUGAAAUCUCCAGGCUCAACCUGGAGGGGUCAUUCGAUACUGCCGUGACUAGAGUUCGGUAGGGGAGUGUGGAAUUCCUGGUGGAGCGGUGAAAUGCGCAGAUAUCAGGAGGAACACCCGUAGCGAAGGCGGCACUCUGGGCCGAUACUGACACUGAGGAGCGAAAGCGUGGGGAGCGAACAGG
rnacentral:rRNA from 1 species